rnacentral:tRNA from 1 species
GCCUGGCUGCUCAGUUGGUAGAGCAUAUGACUCUUGAUCUUGGGGUUGUGGGUUGAACCCCAUGUUGGGUA